rnacentral:misc_RNA from 1 species
AACAUCGCGCACCUGCGGGAACCUGCGGAGGGAUCAUUAAGGAGGUGGUUUAGUGGGGCACACUCUCUACGGAGUGUGUGCCAGCUAUUAUAUUCAAUAGCAAAUCCCUUGUGUGCACUGAGAGAGUGAGAAAGAAGAAGACUUGCCGCUAAAGCGGUUUUGGAAAAAAAAUCACGGCGGCGGCGGUCUUUUUCAAAUAAGAACUUUUGCUUAAAACUUUUGACUGAUGAAUAAUUUAUU